rnacentral:rRNA from 1 species
UACGGAGGGUGCGAGCGUUGUCCGGAAUCACUGGGCGUAAAGGGCGCGUAGGCGGCCUGAUACGUCGGGGGUGAAAUCCUGCGGCUUAACCGCAGGGCUGCCUUCUAAACUGUCAGGCUCGAGCACAGUAGAGGCAGGUGGAAUUCCCGGUGUAGCGGUGGAAUGCGUAGAGAUCGGGAAGAACAUCAGUGGCGAAGGCGGCCUGCUGGGCUGUUGCUGACGCUGAGGCGCGACAGCGUGGGGAGCAAACAGG